rnacentral:rRNA from 1 species
GUGGACGCUGGCGGUAGGCCUAACACAUGCAAGUCGAACGGCAGCACAGUAAGAGCUUGCUCUUACGGGUGGCGAGUGGCGGACGGGUGAGGAAUACAUCGGAAUCUACUUUUUCGUGGGGGAUAACGUAGGGAAACUUACGCUAAUACCGCAUACGACCUACGGGUGAAAGCAGGGGAUCUUCGGACCUUGCGCGAUUGAAUGAGCCGAUGUCGGAUUAGCUAGUUGGCGGGGUAAAGGCCCACCAAGGCGACGAUCCGUAGCUGGUCUGAGAGGAUGAUCAGCCACACUGGAACUGAGACACGGUCCAGACUCCUACGGGAGGCAGCAGUGGGGAAUAUUGGACAAUGGGCACAAGCCUGAUCCAGCCAUACCGCGUGGGUGAAGAAGGCCUUCGGGUUGUAAAGCCCUUUUGUUGGGAAAGAAAAGCAGCAGGUUAAUACCCCGCUGUUCUGACGGUACCCAAAGAAUAAGCACCGGCUAACUUCGUG